rnacentral:rRNA from 1 species
UACGUAGGGGGCUAGCGUUGUCCGGAUUUAUUGGGCGUAAAGAGCUCGUAGGUGGUUCGGUAAGUCGGAUGUGAAAUCUCCAGGCUCAACCUGGAGGGGUCAUUCGAUACUGCCGUGCUUGAGGACUGGAGAGGAGACUGGAAUUUACGGUGUAGCGGUGAAAUGCGUAGAUAUCGUAAGGAAGACCAGUGGCGAAGGCGGGUCUCUGGACAGUUCCUGACGCUGAAGCACGAAGGCCAGGGGAGCAAACGGG